GCUCAGUGCCAGCCCGGUCCCGGCCAAGCGGAGUGUGAGCCUAGCGCCCCCAACGCAGCACCCCGCGCCCUCGCCAGCUUCCCCACCGUGCGGAUCGAAGCCAGCCGGUUGUUGCCAUGGCAUUCGCCAGCUGGUGGUACAAGACGCAUGUCAGUGAAAAAACCAGUGAAUCGCCUUCCAAACCAGGAGAAAAAAAAGGAUCAGAUGAGGUAAUUUCCAUAAUACUGGGCUUUCAUUUUCUCUUGCUUUUAAACUGUGGAGUCUGCCUUGAAAUAUUAAAUAAUGAUGUAGCAAAGAGCUUCUACUUUGCUUAAUAUUGGGAAAUUUUGAUUUAACCAAGAUUUGAUUCAAGAAUAUAAAAGGAAAUCACUAAAAAUAAAUAAAAAAAUUGUUCCUGGGAAUAGAGCCUGUAUGAAUACUUUCCCUUUAGUAAUAGAACUUUGUUGCUUAGGGUGUUUUCUCUAUAGGAAUUGGUGAAUCCAGAUUGUUUUGUUGGUGAAUAUGUCAAGUGUAGAAGGGAAAACAAUUGCUAUAGUAGAAAGGAAAACCUUUUUUUAUGA
rnacentral:sRNA from 1 species